GAUGAACGCUGGCGGCGUGCCUAAUACAUGCCAGUCGAGCGAACAGACGAGGAGCUUGCUCCUCUGACGUUAGCGGCGGACGGGUGAGUAACACGUGGAUAACCUACCUAUAAGACUGGGAUAACUUCGGGAAACCGGAGCUAAUACCGGAUAAUAUAUUGAACCGCAUGGUUCAAUAGUGAAAGACGGUUUUGCUGUCACUUAUAGAUGGAUCCGCGCCGCAUUAGCUAGUUGGUAAGGUAACGGCUUACCAAGGCGACGAUGCGUAGCCGACCUGAGAGGGUGAUCGGCCACACUGGAACUGAGACACGGUCCAGACUCCUACGGGAGGCAGCAGUAGGGAAUCUUCCGCGAUGGGCGAAAGCCUGACGGAGCAACGCCGCGUGAGUGAUGAAGGUCUUCGGAUCGUAAAACUCUGUUAUUAGGGAAGAACAAAUGUGUAAGUAACUAUGCACGUCUUGACGGUACCUAAUCAGAAAGCCACGGCUAACUACGUG
rnacentral:rRNA from 1 species